CUUCAACUGCUAAGUCCCUUGGGAAGGAACUGGAGCAGUGGAAAUUUUAUAUCCAACUCUUCUAAUUGGAGCUAUAGGAUAUAUGGGCCAUGAAGCCAGCAGUGUAGGUGCCAUGGCUUUAGCCUUUGACAUCCUCUCACUAAAACAGAAGGAAAAAUUUGCGUUGCUAGGAUACCCUCGCAUUCUAGACUCUGCAAUGCCUUGAGCCUUUGACUCUUGACUUUUAUGUCUUUUUUCAUCUGUCAAGGCUCUCAGAUGAAAGGAGAGUAUCAGGAAGCCAUGUACUGGCAUCACACUUUGCAAGAUACAGAUUGACUUCUCUUAUUUCUUCUCUCAUUUAAGCAUUCUCCUUUCCUUUCUUCUAAUUGGUUCCAGAAGUUCUUGAUACAAAUGUCAUGUUGGGUGAACAGUGGCAAAUGUAUGCUAACUCAAGUGCCAGUCCCGACCCAUUGUGGCAACUGCCUAGAAAACUAUGUGAAGAAGCAUUCUAAGCUAAGGUAAAGGGCACAUCAGAGAGUGGGAGAGAAAACUAGUCAACAUCUUUAUUAAAUUUGGUGCCCGAUGCAAGAAAACUUAUCAUAGUUGCCUUAAAUAACAAACGUUCCUGACAAGAGUGUGACCUCAAAGACUGCAGGUUUUAAGAAGAUGCUUGCCAUGUUGUCAACAGUCACCGCUGAGAUAAUGCAGUAGAACGAGUUAUACGAGAACCUGAAGGAACUAUGGAAAGUGAAAGAAUUAUUUUUUCUCAAAAAGCAGAUGUCCUUUCACAACAGGAAGAAUACAUGAGAAGAAGUGGCCUGUCACUUCCAUUGAUAUGGACUGGAGACAGGAAAACACUGGAUAAAAGAGGCCAGUCCCUGAGAAAGGCCCCACCCUCAAGCCUGAAGGCCCUAAAUAUGGACAGACAUUCCUGUUAUCAUGCCACAGUUUUUGCCUUUUGGCCUGCCACAGCCCCAUCCUGUACCCAUAUAAACCCUGAACCCCUGGUUUCACAGGCAGAUAAGCAAAGAGAUGAGGAGAUACACACAUUAAGGGCAGAAUGAUGUGACAGAGAAAGAGAGAGGAGGAGGAAUGUCUGAAUGCCAAGAGGAAUUCAUCCAAGGGUGGUCUGAGAGGUGUUUGGCUUGUGGACAGUGAGACUCCAGAAGAGGAUCUUCAUACCAUUCCAUUACCAUUUUCCACUACACAUCCCUCCUGCUGAGAGCCAUCUCUACCACACAAUAAAACCCCUGUAUCCAUCCUUUGAGUCUUGUGUGUGACCCAAUUCUUCCAGGAUACUGGAUAAGAGCUCAGGAUACAGAAAACUGUCACACUGGCCCUCUGCCCCUGCAGAAAGGCAGAGGGUCUACUGAGCUGGUUAACACUCAAGCCAUCCAUGGACUGCAGGGCUAAAAGGGCACACUGUAACACACUCCCACGUGGGCUCCUGCACCUGUUCGUCUGUAUGCUCCCCUUCCCAUCAGGGGUUUGAGCAGCAGCAGUGGUGACCAAAGAGGCAGAUCACACCCCUGCCACCUAUCUUGUGAGGGGGAUCAGGGAACUUUGCUGUUUCAUAAGGCCAAAGUAUUUGAUUGACUGUAUUUGAUUUUUCACCUUUCUCUUCUCGUUUCACACUGAACCCGAAGACACAUGUGUUUGUCAUUGCAUCAUAAAAUGGUAUAGGGUGAUGUGUGGACAUAAAUCUACCACCAAUUUGUGUUGAGUAUGUAAAGUUUAGUAUAGUUUAAAAUAAAAUUUCAUUGUGUUAAGCUAUGAAGAUUUUUGAUAUUUAGUUAUGGAGCAUAGUGAAGCUUCUUCUGAUCGAUUAACUUAAAAUGAAUAUAUUUCUCAAACAUUAUUCCUUCCUCACAAAGUGGAUUGCAUAAAACAGCUUAUAUAGUAAAACAUCAGAAGCAAGAAAAUGUUCCUAUGAUCAUUAUUGCAUUUCAUCCUUCCUACAACCUAAUUUUUUUAUCAUCUUAUUUUGAAGAAGAGGGUGUUCAGGCUCAUGGGGGCAAAGGAGGUUGUUCCGUACUGCACAGCAAUUACCUAGAGUCUGAAUGUGAAUGCAGAUAACUUAGCUUUUAGCUCAGGAUUUCUUUCUUUUGUCCUUGGCCAUUCCAAGUUCUUAGUGCCAAAUCCAAUAAAUGUGUUUUAGAUUUAAAUGGACUCUUUUAGUAGGUUCCUUAGCUGCCUUUGACAUUAUUGAUGUUGUUCUCUUCAAAAUUCUCUAUUCUCUUGACUUCCGUGACACCACCUUUUUAAAAAUUCACUCUUUUGUAUUUCUUUGCCUCCUUCAUGAACUUGACUUCCUCUGCCUGUCUCCUAAAUAUUAAUAUUUUUAUGUGUUCACUGCUAAUUUCUUUCCCUUUUCUAGCAUCUCGGACUGGGUGAUCUCACUCACUCUUAUGAUUAUAAUUCUCAGUUCUAUGCUAAUGACUUUCUAAUUUAUAGGCAAGUACAGUUUUUUUUUCUAAAAUUUAAAGCUCUAUAGUCAGUGCCACAGAAGCAUCUAUUUUUUGAACAUUCCCAAGGCAACUCAAAUCCAUUAUUCCCAAAAUAAAUGAACCUUCCUUUCCAUCUGCAAGUUACAUGAUGCCGCAUAUUUUAUAUGAUGUCAUUAUCAUUCACUUAGUCACUUACUCCAGAAGUUUGGGCACAAGUCGAGACCCAUUCGUCUUCUUCAUCGCAACACAACUUAUCAAACUGUAAAUUAUAUUGAUUAUAACUUCUGGAUAAUGUAGGUGUUUUGUGCCUGUUUCCCUCCUUCUGCCAAAAUUCCAGAUAAGUUUUGUUGUUGUUGUUUGGUCCUUUCCAUUGAACUUAUAUGCAGACAAUAACUAGGUAUUGUGCAGCCAUCUCCAGCUUUAUUUCUCAUUCAAUCAUACUGCUAGUGGUAUGCUGGCCUUAUAGCAUCUUUUAAUCAAUUGUAUUGAAGUAUAAUUAAGAUAUAAUAAAAUUUACACAUAUUUAAAAACAGUGUUUAGUAUGUCUUAAUAAAUGUAUGUGCCAUUGUAUUCACUGCCGUGGGCUGCCAUAACAAAAGUAUCGUCGACUGGGUGGCUUCUACAACAGUUACUUAUUUCUGCACAGUUCUGGAGGCUAGAAGACUAAGAUCAAGGUGUUCAGUUUUCAGUGAAGUCUUUCUUUUUCAUUUGCGGACAAUCCCCUUCUUUCUGUGUCCUUACGAGAGAGAGAGAGAGAGAGAGAGAGAGAGAGAGAGAGAGAGAAAUAUAUAUAAGAAUCUAAUGUCUCUGGUGGGUGUGGUGGCUUAUGCUUGUGAUCCCAGCACUUUGGAAGGCCGAGGCAGAUGGAUCACAAGAUCAAGAGAUCGAGACCAUCCUGGUCAACAUGGUGAAACCCCGUCUCUACUAAAAAUACAAAAAAUUAGCUGGGCACGGUGGCGCGUGCCUGUAAUCCCAGCUACUUGGGAGGCUGAGGCAGAAGAAUUGCCUGAACCCAGGAGGUGGAGGUUGCGGUGAGCCGAGAUCGCGCCAUUGCACUCCAGCCUGGGUAACAAGAGCAAAACUCC
ensembl:lncRNA